GACACCUUAGGUAAGUGGUUAAGCCUACUGAUUGGAAAUCAGUUCCUUUCGGGGGCGCAGGUUCAAAUCCUGCAGGUGUCGCCA
rnacentral:tRNA from 1 species